rnacentral:rRNA from 1 species
UCCUACGGGGGGCAGCAGUGAGGAAUAUUGGUCAAUGGGCGGAAGCCUGAACCAGCCAAGUCGCGUGAGGGAAGAAGGCCCUGCGGGUCGCAGACCUCUUUGGACGGGGAGCAAGGCCGCCGACGUGUCGGCGGAAGGAGAGUACCCGGAGAAAAAGCAUCGGCUAACUCCGUGCCAGCAGCCGCGGUAAUACGGAGGAUGCGAGCGUUAUCCGGAUUUAUUGGGUUUAAAGGGUGCGUAGGCGGGCUGUUAAGUCAGCGGUCAAAUGUCGGGGCUCAACCCCGGCCUGCCGUUGAAACUGGCGG